UACGUAGGGGGCAAGCGUUGUCCGGAUUUAUUGGGCGUAAAGAGCGUGUAGGCGGCUUGGUAGGUCCGUUGUGAAAACUCGAGGCUCAACCUCGAGACGCCGAUGGAAACCACCAAGCUAGAGUCCGGAAGAGGAGAAUGGAGUUCCUGGUGUAGCGGUGAAAUGCGCAGAUAUCAGGAAGAACACCCGUGGCUAAGGCGGUUCUCUAGUACGGUACUGACGCUGAGACGCGAAAGCGUGGGGAGCGAACAGG
rnacentral:rRNA from 1 species